GCAUCGGUGGUUCAGUGGUAGAAUGCUCGCCUGCCACGCGGGCGGCCCGGGUUCGCUCGCAAGCAGCG
rnacentral:tRNA from 1 species